GAUGAACGCUGGCGGCGUGCCUAAUACAUGCAAGUCGAGCGAACAGACGAGGAGCUUGCUCCUCUGACGUUAGCGGCGGACGGGUGAGUAACACGUGGAUAACCUACCUAUAAGACUGGGAUAACUUCGGGAAACCGGAGCUAAUACCGGAUAAUAUAUUGAACCGCAUGGUUCAAUAGUGAAAGACGGUUUUGCUGUCACUUAUAGAUGGAUCCGCGCCGCAUUAGCUAGUUGGUAAGGUAACGGCUUACCAAGGCAACGAUGCGUAGCCGACCUGAGAGGGUGGUCGCCCACACUGGAACUGAGACACGGUCCAGACUCCUACGGGAGGCAGCAGUAGGGAAUCUUCCGCAAUGGGCGAAAGCCUGACGGAGCAAGGCGGCGUGAGUGGUGAAGGUGUUCGGAUCGUAAAACUGUGUUAUUGGGGAAAAACAGAUGUGUAAGUAGCUGUGCACGUCUUGACGGUACCUAAUAAAAAAGCCACGGCUAACUACGUG
rnacentral:rRNA from 1 species